rnacentral:rRNA from 1 species
UUUUAUUUGAGAGUUUGAUCCUGGCUCAGGAUGAACGCUGGCGGCGUGCCUAACACAUGCAAGUCGAACGAAGCGCCUUUUAAGAUUCUUCGGAUGAUUGAUUGGUGACUGAGUGGCGGACGGGUGAGUAACGCGUGGGUAACCUGCCCUGUACAGGGGGAUAACAGUUGGAAACGGCUGCUAAUACCGCAUAAGCGCACGAGAGGACAUCCUUUCGUGUGAAAAACUCCGGUGGUACAGGAUGGGCCCGCGUCUGAUUAGCUGGUUGGCAGGGUAACGGCCUACCAAGGCGACGAUCAGUAGCCGGUCUGAGAGGAUGAACGGCCACAUUGGAACUGAGACA